rnacentral:rRNA from 1 species
UACGUAGGGGGCGAGCGUUGUCCGGAGUUACUGGGCGUAAAGGGCUCGCAGGCGGUGAUGCGCGUCGAGAGUGCCAGCUGACAGCUUACCUGUCAGAGUGCUCGCGAAACGGCAUGACUUGAGGACGAGAGAGGGACAUGGAACUCCGGGUGGAGUGGUGAAAUGCGUAGAUAUCCGGAAGAACACCAAAGGCGAAGGCAGUGUCCUGGCUCGUUUCUGACGCUGAGGAGCGAGAGCUAGGGGAGCGAACAGG